ensembl:lncRNA
GGGGAAAAAAUUGUACAUUGAUACUGAAUUCUAACAACGUCCUUACUCUAGGCUACAUCCUUCCCCAACAUUCCAUGAAAGGAUAUAAACUUGAAAAUGACCACGGGUGCUGUGAUUGAAUAGUUAGCCACACUUACCCCUGGACGGAAUAUAGAUAAGAUAUAUUGAUUACGAUAUUUAAAACAUCAUUUUAUUUCCAAAAGCGUCUGUGUUGCGUCAAGCACCUCACCAGACAGAUGUUCGAUGUUACCAACAUUUAUUGUACACAAACAUGUAUGAAAGUAAGCUAACCUGAGUAAUUUUCGAAAAGUUUUUUUAAUUGAAUUGUUGAAUUAUGCCUUACAUUUCACAAAAAAAAGCCCUGUUCAGUUGCCCUUCACAACAUGUCAUGAUGUCACAAUGGACAAUGACCCGUUAUUUUGUUUAAAUAGGCCGUUCCAGAAUGGGCAGGUCAUUUACACUGCACUCUUUCGAAAUGAAAAUAAGUCUGAGAUAUAAAUAACUAAGAAUUUUAUUUGUUAUUCUAUUCAUCAAUAUCAUACAUGUACUUCACAUAUUUUUGUAGUAAUUUUCCACUCCACUACAAGAAUUCACAACAAUGAAAGACAGAAAAAAAUCAAGCUUUAGGCUGCCAGCGAUCAGUAAGAACUUGGACUCAUCUGCCUCCCAUGCACCAGGAAGAGUCACCCAACAUAGAGAUGACAGCACUUUGAAGUUCCCUAAAGUAGGUAGAGUCACUGAGCUGACAGUCUCCGCUGGCAGCAAGGACAAAUUCAGCUCUAUUCCUGUGCUACCGGACAUUGGCUUGCAAGCCUCUCCAGCCACCAGUGUACCUUCCUCAACAGUCAACCCAGAGCCUGGCUCUCUGACAACGGCAAGAGUCAAACGACAUACAGAUGGAAAAACUCUGAACAACUCAAACCCAGGUAGAACCAUUGGUAUGAUAAAUUCAAUGGCAAGCAAGAAGAAGGUCAGAUCAUUUCCUGCUCUGCCAGACAUUGGCAUAGAAGGCUCUCCUGACUUGUCAGCCAUCAGGGUGCCUUCCUCGAUGGUCAGACCAGAGGCUGUCCGUCUGAAGUCUACCUCUCUGAAGGAAACAAGAGUUAACCAACAUACAGAUGGCAGAACUCUAAAGUUCCCUAAACUAGGUAGAGUCACUGAGCUGAUAGACUCAACGGGCAGCAAGGACAAAAUCAGCUGUAUUCCUGUGCUACCUGACAUUGGCAUGGCAGCCUCUCCAUUAAACAGCCAUCUAAAUACUUCAGAUGCCUUUUGGAUUCCCACCCCAUCUGCCUCCAUGUCACCAGCCCGGCAUGCCAAAGGCAGACGACAAAGGCGUGUGAAUGAGGGGGUCCAGCUGUUAAACACACAAACUGUUGUGCAGGACCAGCAGCUACCAGAGGUACCGGCCAACAGACAGGCCAUGUCAGCCUCUGAGUCCUUGACCUCCAGCAACACUGAGUUGUUGUUCCUGUGUGGUUCAUCCUUGUCUUGCUGCCCAGGUAAUGGAGGGGAUGAUGGCUGUCAGUGCAGGCUCAGACCUACAUCCAGCUAUUCAGAACACACGGACCACUCAUUCGAAGACAAGGUCCCGUACUGGAUGUCCUUGGAGAACAUUACCCCUGUCUUGAGACCCCCCACCACCCCCCCUUUUUCUAAAAUCAGCUCUUUUCCUGUGCUACCUGACAUUGGUGUAAAAGCCUCUCCAGCCAUCUGUGUACCUUCCUCAACAGUUAACCCAGAGCCUGGCUCCCUGACACUGGCAAGAGUCAUACGACAAACAAUUGGAAGAACUCUGAACAUCCCUAACCCAGGUAGUGUCACUGAGCUGAUUGACUCCGCGGGAUACAAUGAAGAAAUCCCCUCUUUUCCUGUGCUAUCGGACAUUGGCAUGGAAGCCCCUCCAAUCAACAGCCAUCUAAAUACUUCAGCUGCCUUUCCGAUUCCCACCCCACCUGCCUCCCUGUCAACAGACCGGCAUGCCAAAGGCAGACGACGGAGGCGUGUGAAUGAGAUGAACCAGCUGUUAGACAUAGCCUCUGAGUCCUCGACCUCCAGCAUCACUGAGGAGAUGUUCCUGUGUAGUUCAUCCUUGUCCAGUUGCCCAGGUAAUGGAGGGGAUAAUGGCUGUCAGUGCCGGCCCAGAUCUACAUCCAGUUAUUCAGACCACACCGACCACUUAUUUGAAGACAUGCUUGGGUACUGGAAGGCCUUGGAGACCAUUACCCCUCCCCUGACACCUCCCACCUCCACCCCCACCCCAUUUUCCAGUUGGUCCUCUUUCUGAAUUGUAGGAACGUCAGCUUUAGGGGUUUACAUGUACACACCUUUUACCCUAAACAUAAUAUAUUAGACCUCCCUCUCCAAAACAAAAAAG